rnacentral:rRNA from 1 species
GAUGAGCGCUGGCGGCGUGCCUAAAACAUGCAAGUCGAAUGCGCUUCGGGCGCAUGGCAAACUGGUGAGUAACACAUUGGAAUCUGCCCUUAUCUCAGGGAUAACCCAUCGCAAGGUGGGAUAAUACCUGAUAGUCCGUGCUUGCACGGUAAAACUCCGGUGGAUAAGGAGGAUCCUAUGUCCUAUCAGCUUGUUGGUGGGGUAAUGGCCUACCAAGGCUACGACGGGUAGCUGGUCUGAGAGGAUGAUCAGCCACAUUGGGACUGAGAUACGGCCCAGACUCCUACGGGAGGCAGCAGUUAGGAAUAUUGCAUAAUGGACGAAAGUCUGAUGCAGCAACGCCGCGUGAAGGAUGACGGCCUUCGGGUUGUAAACUUCUUUUACCAGGGAAGAUUAUGACGGUACCUGAUGAAUAAGCUCCGGCUAACUACGUGCCAGCAGCCGCGGUAA